rnacentral:lncRNA from 1 species
AAAUAAAUAGAUUGAUGACAACAUCACACUAACAAGGGAGGUAACUACUUUCAAAACUGACACGAAAACUAGCCCGGUCGUUAAAGUAUACAUGCACAGUGGUUGUGAGAUCAAUACCGAACGGCCCUAUACCCUAUAGUUAGUUUCCAUUAUCUAACUUUGGUUUGCCUCAACCAAAUGUUAUGAAACUUAUACACAAUGCUUAUUACCACAAAAC